CAUCCCAUCAAUCUCCACCAUGGGCACCUGCUGAAACAGCAGGACUCCAUCUAGGGAAGAAAAAGAAGCAAGCUACUCAGGCUGCUGAAGUACUACACUGAAAAUAAGGAAGAGCCCUGGUGCAAACUUAUUUUCCUCAGAAGAAUAAAUUGUUGUGCUAACUGA